GCCUGCGGGGCCCGGCUUCUCCCCGGGGAGGUGGCGCCUCAAGGUCGACCUCUGCUGUGAUGCAGACAGGAUCCUGCUGCAGUCCCCUCAGUCCACUUAGUAAAUUGCUGUGUGGGCCAAGAUGUGGACUCCGCCGGCCCCGACCCUCCGCUGUUCCCGGUCCCGGAUUAGCUAAUGAAUACCCGCGUAGCCACAGACCCCGAGCCCGCAGACUGCGCUCAGAUGCCAGCACUGAGGGUUAUUUUAUUUUAGGUACCGCGGGCUGUGUGUGGCAGGGACAAUUACACAAGCUAAAGUCAUCGAUUUCCACUGAAAAUCCUGCUGUCUCCUCCAGCUGAAUUAUGGUGGCAGCUUUUUUUUUUUUUUUUUUAAACAGCCCAUCUUCAAACAGUGAGGAGGUGGAAGCUGAGGUUCCUUUCUCCACGCACCUUCCAGCGACUUCUGCUCAAGAACUGACCUCUAUGUCUGCCUCCCAACGCUGGCAUCGCACCUUGCUCUGCGAGAGACCCUUGUAUUCCAUGUGGCGUGAACAUUUCUGAGCUUUUCAUCAGAAGAGGAAGGGUCGGGUUUUCAAGUAGACGCGUGUAAAGACUUCGGGACAGAGGCACCUGCGGCUUGAACGAGUGGCCCCGUUAGCUCCUGGGGAAACAAUACCAGAUCAAGAGCAUCCUUCCUCCGUGUCUACCCCAGAAGCUGCCUGACUUCUAGAUGAUGCCAGCACCUGCAGUCCUGACGCAUCUCUGCCUUCUGAAACUGCACGUUCUGCCUGCCAGCAAUUCACAGACACACGAACACUCCCAUGUCUUAUUUAAAUUGUAAACCUUUCUCGAUCCAGCCUCUCUGCGGAUUAUAGCCUCUCCCUCCCUCUGCAGUGAACUUCCGGAAAGUUUCAAAGUGCAGUCUGCAUUCUUUAUCAACUUCCUCCUCCUUCAUCUCCUUCACCCUCACACCCUGCAAAACUCCACUCAGAGCCAGCACACUGCACAGAUGUCUCUCAGUCCCCCCUCUUCCCCUGGCCUUGACAGCUUUGCACACUGGGGACUGCAUGCUCUGUCCUUGACUUGGGGUUUCCUGGCAGCACCUGGAGGGGCCUGGCUGCAACUCUUCUCUGCUAAGGUUCCCAUGAAUCCCUGGAGUCUUUCAUGGUGUGAACGGCUACUUUUUUUGGGUCGUGUUUAUUGAAAAGUUUCAGAAACUUCUGCAUCCUUAGUUCCCCAAGUUAGGGUUUUUAACUAUUACUUCUCUCUGGAGGGAAUCAGGGCUGGUUGGAGAAGGCUGAUUUCGUAAACAGAAUGGGGUAACCUCUAACACAGCCUUGCACUGGAAAGCAGGGAUGCACUAGGAGCCUUCUGAGGUCUUGGGACAAGCUGGGGCAAAACUGGCACAGCUUAAUGUCACAAACAGCCGUAACUGCAGUGGCUCCAAAACAUUUCAAUUACGUUGAAGUCUAUUUGUUCAUAAUGUUAUUUUCUAAAAUACAUUGAUUACCUUUGAAGAGUGCUAAGGAACCCAACUCAUUAUUUUUAAAAGCUGGCAAAGAAAAGAAACGAAGUGAC
ensembl:lncRNA